rnacentral:rRNA from 1 species
ACUCCUACGGGAGGCAGCAGUGGGGAAUAUUGCACAAUGGGGGAAACCCUGAUGCAGCCAUGCCGCGUGUGUGAAGAAGGCCUUCGGGUUGUAAAGCACUUUCAGCGAGGAGGAAAGGGUNUGUGCUAAUACCAUACANCUUGUGACGUUACCCACAGAAGAAGCACCGGCGUAACUCCGUGCCAGCAGCCGCGGUAAUACGGAGGGUGCAAGCGUUAAUCGGAAUUACUGGGCGUAAAGCGUGCGCAGGCGGUCUGUUAAGCGAGAUGUGAAAGCCCCGGGCUCAACCUGGGAACUGCAUUUCGAACUGGCGACUAGAGUCUUGUAGAGGGGGGUAGAAUUUCCAGGUGUAGCGGUGAAAUGCGUAGAGAUCUGGAGGAAUAC